rnacentral:misc_RNA from 1 species
CUGAAUCCUUUACAUUUCAGAGACAAAUAAACGAUUGACCGGCGACAGACCUCGCAAAGAAAGGACUGCAUUUACAAAACAUCAAAUUCGCCACCUUGAAUAUGAAUUUGCGCAUAGUAAUUAUCUGACACGUUUACGUCGCUAUGAAAUAGCAGUUGCUCUCGAUCUAACAGAACGUCAGGUAAAGGUAUGGUUUCAAAAUAGACGUAUGAAGUGGAAGAGAACAAAAGCGGGAUUAGGAAGUGUAUCAGAAAAAUUUUGAUGAUCCCUGAUAAUUACUUCUUUAAUUUUAAACAUCUUAUACAAUGUCCAAUGUAAAUAGUAAAUUAAGUAAAAUCAUGUAAUCAAAAAAGUGUUCAAUAUCUCUAUAGUACUUAAUUAUAACAUUUGUACAUUAUUGUGUUUAA